GUAGUCAGUUUGUGUCAUUAACAUCAAAGUCAGCCAGACCACCCCUGUGGUAAAUUAAUCUGGGUUCUUAUUUUCUCUUCCUUGCAUUACAGGAUGAUGAGGAGGGCAUUUGGGCAUAGCUGGAACAACCAAAGCUCUAAUGUUGAUUUUAGGGGAGAUGCAUUCGCUACUGGAGGAGCAUGGCCAUCCUAAGAUGUUGAAACACCACCCAAAUGAACAUUCACCAUCAUUAUUGAAUCUUAACUUCUGAACAGUGGGGCCUUUAUUUAUUUUAUUUUAUUACUUUUUCUUUGUUUUUGUUUUUUUCUGAGGAACAAGAGGAGGUACUCAGGUUUUCAGGUCCUGCAAGGAGACUGGCAGCUGAACAGGUGAGGUGAGGCCUUCGCUUUGUGUGAACAGGAAGACCAUCCUCCAAAUGAUGUGCCAAUGGAAGCACUGAGGACAAAUUACUGGUUUAACAGACAUGGCUACCAUGGCAACCCUGCAGUAGCGGUGUCAGAGAAGUCACCUCACCUGUCCAUCACCUGCUGAAUGACCCCUUUUUUCUCUCAUCAAACCAUGUUGAUUUUAAAAAUUGUCUUGCUGCCUCUUUAACCUAAAGCUCUGACCGGCUCGUAGGCCUGACUCUCAGUUUUGAUCUGACCCCUCAGCUUAUCCCUAAAAACCCUAAGAGUGUCUUCUGUUGUCUAUUUCAUAGACAACAGUUAUUUGAGAACUGGUCACACAUUAGGCAUUUCUUCCUCUAAUGAUGAUGUCUACAUUGACAAGCUUAUUAACACAUUUGAGUCACUUUAGAUUUUCUGUUGCAAUUCUUCGUUAGCACAAGGAAGAACUUAUGGAGCACCUUGAGGGACUGUGCAAACCACUGGUUUUAGGAUCAAGAUUAAGCUUCAAGGUAGUGGCUCCUAUCAGCAUUUUUUUCUCCACAUUACCUCAUUUCAGUUAUAAAUAGUAAAGAGAAAAUUAUCAGUCUAUGCAGAUAUCAACAUAGAGAGUGCAUUUUUAUUUUUCCAUGUAUAUUUAAAUAAAUUCCAAUUGUAUUAGACCAAUCAGAGCUGCCAAGAAAAGCGGUCAGAAGAUAUUCAUUGGAUUCUUUUGAUUUUUUUGAGACUAUGCACCUCCUCUGUGUUGACAGGAACUUUCACUUAUGGUGCUUCUGCUGGUGCUCAAACUAAAUGGUGUCAGAAGAUCUAAAUAGAGCAUCUUUUUGUCCUUUUACAUUAGAGGGACUUGCUCCCACAAUGGGCUUCAUAAACAACAGUACAAAACUGCUUUGUAUAUUAUAUGUACAGGUUAAAACGUGGGGCUUUGUGAACAACGAUCAAACAUUUUCUCAAGAAAUAUGACUACUAAAAGCCUCAGAAUAGACUGUGAAGCGAAGUAGAUGUUUUCUCUUCAGAUAAAAGUGAUUCCAGUAACACCCCAGCUUCACUAUAAGCCCUCUCCCUUCUUUCAUAUUCUUCCAGCAGUAGCCUGUAUGAUCUCCCCACAUAGUGACUUGUUUUCUCCUUCUCAACAAGGUGGUCUGUGCCUCGUCGAAUCUGUAUACAUAAGAUAGAUAUGCAUAUAUUAUACAUAUAGAGAUAUAUCUAUAGAGUGUGUCUAUAUGUGGUCAGAAAAAUAUUUCAAACUAAAAAGAUAUACUACAUUUUUUUAUGGUUAUUUUUAUAACUGGCUGGAAGUCAGAGAUAUUUCAUUUAGUUGUGAGAUUGUCCUCACAUUGUUAUGCUGUGAAUAAACCCUUCAGCAGCAAUUUAACAUUCCCUGUCUGGAAAUACAGACCAGCUCAGUAAAAGAAAUGAUUAUUCCAUAAAUUUCAGAACUUCACUUUAGGGGGAAUUCUACCCAAAUUUAUCUAAUGGUCUAGAAAAACUGUCAAUAUUACAUUCCUUUAAAGGGAUAGUUGGGAGUUUUUUUAAAUGGUUUCUGUGGAAUUGAUAUCAACAGUUGGACACUAAACUGUAAUUUACAGUAUACCUGACUGAAUAAGGUUAAAGUUGGAGCAGGACGUUAUUUCAAAUAAGAGCCAUGAUCACAACUCGUCUGACUGGUCCAGUUUCCCAGCUGUUUGUUCUGGCUUAUCAAUUACUUUUAUCAAAAACUUUACUGCAGUAUGUGUAAAUGCCAUCUAAUUAACUCUUACAUAAUAAAAAUUUUAUAAUAAACGUUGUUUUCCACAGACGUAUGUUAUUAUGUUUGCAGCAGGGUGUGUUUCUCUGAGUUUUUUUGUCAAUGAUGGCAUUUAAUUUUUAAUAGAAGAGGUAAUACAGAAAAAAAUAUAUAGUUAAAAUACUUUUUUUAAAUAAUCUAUGAACAAUUUACAGAGAUUGAAUUGAAUGCAACUUGGUUUAUAAUUUUACACAUUGUGUGGGUGUCGUAUAAGAUUUGUUUUUCAGGGGGGUACCUAAAUGUAGAAUUACUGUCAUACACAAUAUGCUUUUUGCUUUUUCUCAACCUACCUAAAAAAUAAUUUUCCCAUAAAGUCGGAACAUUUAGGGAAAAGCCCUAAAGGGCAAAAUAUUUGAUCGCCCCCUGUUUUCAACCCCUGCGUUAAUUCUGAAAUGUAGUUUUAUAUAAAUGCUUAGAAAAAAAGUAAUAAAUUUUGAGAUUGGAGUGAUUAACUUAACUUGUUGUUACUACAAGUUAAUUAUGUUUUUUUUUCUUUUUUUUUUUUUUUCUUUCAAUUACUUUGCACAAAGAAUCAGUGUGGUUUAGACAGCUUUUGUUCCCCUCAAUACAGCUUCAGAAACUCAUUUGACAAAAUAUUAUUUAUGUCCACUUUUCCUUAUUUGAUAAGAUUUUUUUCACAACCUGAGACAUUUAUGAAAGGCAAAAAAACACAAAAACAGGUCAUCUGUAAAAGUAAAUUAGCAAUGUAUUAUCCGACUGCUGAUAACAAUUGCCUGGAAUUCUAUUUAGACAAUUCCCAACAAUCGCUUUAACAUUAAAUCAGCUCAGUUGAAGACUUUAACCUGUGGUAACAAUUUUAAGUAAAUUUUUUUUUAUUAUUAUUUUGGGCUGUAGCUCUCACGGGUAGCAGUUAGAUUAUUUCUGCUGCACUCAGCAGGCAAGAGGCUUGCACUUGUAAAUGAGGACAGUAUCCUCCAAAAAGAGGUUUCAGUGACUCUGUCUGGAUGCAUUUCUCCUUUGUGUAUUUGUCGUUGUCAUGUAAACUGAAGUGGUGAUGUAUGUGUGACCAUAACAACUGAUUUAGGUAGAAAAACCAUCAUGUUGUUACAGUAUUAUGAGAAAGUGAAGCUGACUGUUACUAAUGCCCUCCUCCUUCCUUGACCCUACCGGUGUCUGUGUUGGUGUUUGUAAACAAACAUGUCUCCAUCUCCUCACACCAAGGUGAUUCACUAAUAAUUUUUUACGCCUAUGAUUCCCACUGAAGCAGCUCCUGUAACUGAACAAGAACCAACAGAUUACAGACUAUGUUGUUGUUUGUUUACAAAUGUUGAUUAAAAAGGCCUUUUUUUAUUGUUGGGAAAGAGCGCAGACAGACAGAGGAGCAUAAAUCCUCUUACUUCACCAUCAGGGGUGGAGUACUAAUCCUCCAUUUUCAGGUCCUUAUCUACUGAAUACUUGAAGUAGGGAGUUUUCCUACCAUGAUAUAGCAUACAUAAUUUAAAUAGUCGACAACAUGGAAUAUUUUAAUUGUGCCCAUGCAUGCUGAUUUUUACAUGAUGUGCCAAUUGAAGGUGAUGAUGUACGUUUAAUCUGCUGUACUCUAUGCAGUGAUUGCUCUAUUGUCGUGUCAAAAAAAAAAUAUUGAAAGAAAUAACUAAAAGCGAAAAAGACAUCGAACUUGAAGGUUGGGGAUUGCUUUCUGUACUCAGAUGAAAGGCAAUUAGGAAAUUCUUUAUCUGUGCCUAGAAACAGCUGUAUAAAUUCACUAGUCAUAUUUAAAAGGCCUUCAAAAGAGCUACAGAGAGCCAAGCAUACUUUUAUCUUUCUUUGCUAAAAACAAGUUUCUCUUUGUUGUUAUUUUGUUGCUGGAUAUUUUUGAUUGAACAGAUCACUGUGAUUAAUGCCAGAAAUGUCUUUAUUUUACAAAGCAAGCAUCAAGUUUUUAAUUUUUUUAUCAUAUUUUUUUUGUAUUUAAGUUAAGCUUUAUUUUUGCUAUGAUUUAGGCUUGUUUAGGAAUACCAGUUUGAGACAGUACCAUUUGUAUAGGUAAAUGUUUUGAGCUGUACAGUGACAGAUCUAGGAACAAUUCAAUGUGAGUCCAGCAUGCUGAAUGAUCAUUUGUGUGAAUGUGAGCUGCUACAGCUCAGUCCUCAUUCAUUACUUGCAUCCGCAUUGUGCAUUGUGACAUCGUGUUGGAGAGUGAAGUGUGUCUCACUUACUGUGUCCCCUUAGUAGACAGCCUGUGCAGUUUUGUGAGAGCGCAGCAUGUUUCUUUUCAGGUAAGGGCGUGUUGCUGGUGUAAUUGCAAUCAGAAAAAGAGGGCAAUGCGUGUGGGGUGUUUGUGUGUGAGUGCUGAUAACAGGGUGUGUGUUAUAAAUCAAAAAGAUCAAUUUAUUUAAAAGAGAAAAUUUUAUCAGUCUGUUUCAGAAAAGAUGUGGGCAAGCUUUGAAAGACGCAUGGAUAAUAUGUAUUGUUUUGUUUGCUUUUUUUAACAAUAGGAGGCUGUCCUUAGUGCCCCGGUUUGCUAUUGUCUGUGCUGUACCAGAAUAAUAAUAGUGAGUGUUGGCCAGCUUGUUUAUAUCCAUCAAAUAAAGUUGACUUUCUUUCUGUCUUUGUUGGUGAUUUCCUACUUGGUUUGCCUCAUUGUAUAUAGCCAUUGCAAAUCGGUUCAUUUUAUUU